rnacentral:tRNA from 1 species
GGGCCCGUAGCUCAUCUGGUAGAGCAUCCCCCUUGCACGGGGAAGGUGGCAGGUUCGAGUCCUGUCGGGUCCA